rfam:Gossypium arboreum cultivar AKA8401 contig_11115_5, whole genome shotgun sequence.
AACCCAUGGUGGGGGCACCUUCUCAAAAGGUCAUUGUAUCUCUCUUAUGCAUCGUAGAGUGUUUCCUAAAUCCAUCUGUACAAAAGAAGAGAUAUCAUUAUGUAAUU